UCUCUAGUAUAAACACCAAGUAGCAUGUGUUUUCACAUAAAGAAGACAGGGGCCAUGCAACCUUUAUCAAGUGGAGGUAUUAGAAUGUUGUAAUGUUUGGAGACACAGUGUGACCAGUACAGGUUCCCAGAGAGGAAUGCCCACCAUAUCACAGAAAGGUAGAGGUGGGAUCUGGUAUAGCCAGACCAAGACAGGGAUGUCACGCUGAAGCCAAGUCAGUUAGCUGAAGAUUCUCAACAGGAAGGCCUCUCUUAAGAGUCAGUAAUAGGGUUGUUACCAUCCACCACCUCAACAAAACAAAAAGCUUAUAAUUGUAAAUGUUUACAGCACUGUCUUCGCAGAAACUUUCUGAGGUGAUUCCAAAGAACUAGAGGGGAGAUGGUCUAUAACAGCUCUUGAAGUAAACGAGGUUCUUAGUCUCAGCUCUCCUGACAUAUAGGGCUUGAUCAUUACUGGUAGGGAUUGUUCUGUGAAUUGCUUACUACUACCCCUGGUCUCUCCCCAGUAGAUGCCAGGAACAUUCUAGCUGAUACCUAACUGUCUUCCCAGGUGUUCGAGGGAGCAAACCACUGAUCUAAACUCUAAACGCUGAAGUACGCAGGUUUUCUAAAAAUGACAAGCCCUUGAAACCUUUCCCAGUAGGCAGCCUCGAGCUGGACUUGUGUCUUUGGAAUGCUGAUGAAUUCUAUAGAUCAGCAUUGCAAAUACACUUCAAAUACGUCUGAGUUCAAGUGCAGGGACUGAGUUCACCAAGGUGUGAAAUGUGCUCAAAAAGUUCAAAAGUGUGUGUUUCUUUGUUUCUAAAACAUUGUGGCAUCUUUUUCAUUUGUUUCUAAAACUUUUUUUUUAGAAACAAAUGAAGCACUUGGAAAGUGAAAGUAAAAUUACAAAUAUAAGGAUUUACACUGAAGAGAGAAAAAUUUUAGGAACUAUAGCUGUGAAAAGAUUUUGUUCAAAAGGCAGGCUAGCCUUACCCAAAUUCAUAUAUGGCAGGUGUCAACCUCCCAAGCUUACAGUUAGCAGGCAGCUUUUGCUCACUCAUCCUUAGCCAUGAGAGCCAUUAAGUGUGGUCCAAGAAAGAUGGCUCCAAACCCUACCCCCGACCCACCAGUGGUAUUCAGAGAUUAAAGCAGAAUUGUAAAUAGUGGCUUCAGGAGCUCUUUUUUAGAAUGCUUUGCCCCUUCCUCUCACUGCCUUUUUUAGCCAAUAUAAAUGUCAAUUUGCACACCUUUUGUUGUGGUUUUAUAUUGUAACAGCAUUUUUUUGAAACUAUUGUAUUUAAGAUAAGGUUUCAUAUUAUGUCCACAAGUAAUUAAAUUAUGUUUGAAGGUGGCUAUAUGCUGUAUCAGAAGUUGAUGAUGUUUUUCUUUAGCUGGUAAAGGAGGGUUUUGC
rnacentral:lncRNA from 1 species